CUUCUCAUCGCAUCCUCGCGACUAAUGACAAUCUUUAUCCCGCGGAAUAAAGCCUCUCAUUAGCCGCGUGAACCUCAGCAAUGGAAGAAUCUACUUAGCGUCCACCGCGGCGCGGGCGAAACUAUCCCCCGCCCCGGUGGGCGCUGCCUAGAAGAAAGGGGCCACAUAAGGCCCCUUUCU
rnacentral:sRNA from 1 species